CAGGUGCUGCAUGGCUGUCGUUCAGCUCGUGUCGUGAGAUGUUGGGUUAAGUCCCGCAACGAGCGCAACCCUUGUCUUUAAUUGCCAUCAUUCAGUUGGGCACUUUAAAGAGACUGCCGGUGUUAAACCGGAGGAAGGUGGGAUGACGUCAAGUCCUCAUGGCCUUUAUGCCCAGGGCUACACACGUGCUACAAUGGGUGGUACAAAGAGAUGCAAUCUCGCAAGAGCAAGCAAACCUCAAAAAGCCAUCCUCAGUUCGGAUUGGAGUCUGCAACUCGACUCCAUGAAGUCGGAAUCGCUAGUAAUCGCGGAUCAGCACGCCGCGGUGAAUACGUUCCCGGGCCUU
rnacentral:rRNA from 1 species